GACGAACGCUGGCGGCGUGCUUAACACAUGCAAGUCGAACGGAAAGGCCCUGCUUUUGUGGGGUGCUCGAGUGGCGAACGGGUGAGUAACACGUGAGUAACCUGCCCUUGACUUUGGGAUAACUUCAGGAAACUGGGGCUAAUACCGGAUAGGAGCUCCUGCUGCAUGGUGGGGGUUGGAAAGUUUCGGCGGUUGGGGAUGGACUCGCGGCUUAUCAGCUUGUUGGUGGGGUAGUGGCUUACCAAGGCUUGGACGGGUAGCCGGCCUGAGAGGGUGACCGGCCACAGUGGGACUGGGAUACGGCCCAGACUCCUACGGGAGGAAGCGGUGGGGAAUAGUGCACAAUGGGCGGAAGCCUGAUGCAGCAACGCCGCGUGCGGGAUGACGGCCUUCGGGUUGUAAACCGCUUUCGCCUGUAACGAAGCGUGAGUGACGGUAAUGGGUAAAGAAGCACCGGCUAACUACGUG
rnacentral:rRNA from 1 species